CGCAAGGGGAGUGGCAGACGGGUGAGUAACACGUGGGAACCUUCCCUAUAGUACGGAAUAACCCAGGGAAACUUGGAGUAAUACCGUAUACGCCCGAAAGGGGAAAGAAUUUCGCUAUAGGAUGGGCCCGCGUAGGAUUAGCUAGUUGGUGAGGUAAUGGCUCACCAAGGCGACGAUCCUUAGCUGGUUUGAGAGAACGACCAGCCACACUGGGACUGAGACACGGCCCAGACUCCUACGGGAGGCAGCAGUGGGGAAUAUUGGACAAUGGGCGCAAGCCUGAUCCAGCCAUGCCGCGUGAGUGAUGAAGGCCUUAGGG
rnacentral:rRNA from 1 species